rnacentral:lncRNA from 1 species
AGAUAAAGAUUGUUUUGUGUGUUUGCAGGUUCAGUCCAAUCACCACAGAGAAUUACAAGAAGUCUUCAUGGCAACCAAUUUGUAAAAAAAAAAAAAGUACCCAAGUGUAACGGAUGUGAAACGGCUAGCUUAGUUAGCGGUGCGCGCUAAAUAGCGUUUCAAUCGGUGACGUCACUUGCUCUGAGACCUUGUUGAUGUGUGCAGAGGGUCCCUGAUUCGCACCCGGGUAUGGGCGAGGGGACGGUCUGAAGUUAUACUAUUACAUAAGUAUCAAGUUAUAAUUGUUAAUAGCAUUAUUUAAGGCUAAGGCCAAAGCCUUUUGUAUAAAAGCCUUCCUGUUUCCUUCAGGGGAUCGCCUUACUAUGUGCUGGUCAACGUGCCUUGGGAGAAUGGGAGCGGCGAUGGUAUUUCUUGUAACAAAGUAAGUAUGAGGAAUAGGAAUUAUUGUAAAUGUAUUAAUUUUAGGCAUUGGCGCCUAUAUUCCACCUAGACCUACUCUCCUUCUUCCUGGGCACGCUCUCCUUGAGUGUUGCAACACAUUAUUAUCGUCAGUUUGAGUAUAUGAAUUAAACAUAUAAACCUAGUGAUACUUGUUUGUGAGAAAUCUGAUAUUGCUAACUGUUCAAGUCUAUCUUGUAGGACAGUUGUACGAAGCUCCCGGAGCCCGAAGAUGAUGUAGGCCUAUGGAUGUUGUGACUUGUGACACUGAAAAUUAAAUAAAUUGUUGUUGCAUAAUGUUGUCUUGAUUCCCAUGCUCCACUCCUUGAUUGAAAUAACCUGUGUUAUGUUUAUCUUAGUACCUCGCCUCGCUUCUUAAAAAGGUGGUGCGGCUGUGUCGACAGGAAUAUUAUGUUAAUUUCCCUGACGUCACAUCCGCAUUGCAUACUUACUCCCAUUCACAGAUAAUUUGUUAGUAGGACAUGACGUGAUCCAGCUUGUGUGUGUAAUAUAACUGCUUGACCUACCUUGCAGAACAUGGACCAGGACAUCUGCCAUUCAUUGUGGUAGGCUUGC